CCUACGGGAGGCUGCAGUGGGGAAUUUUGCGCAAUGCUCGUAAGAGUGACGCAGCGACGCUGCGUGAAUGACGAAGGCCCUCGGGUCGUAAAGUUCUUUCGACAGGGAAGAAAAUGCCUAUAAGUAACUGUGUAUGUAUUGACGGUACCUGUAUAAGCAGCCCCGGCUAACUCCGUGCCAGCAGCCGCGGUAAUACGGAGGGGGCGAGCGUUGUUCGGAGGGACUGGGCGUAAAGAGCACGUAGGCGGUGUUGUAAGUCAUUAGUCAAAGACUAGAGCUCAACUUUAGUAAGGCUAGUGAUACUAUAAUACUAGAGUAUCAGAGAGGAUUGCAGAAUUCCUGGUGUAGCGGUGAAAUGCGUAGAUAUCAGGAGGAAUACCGUUAGCGAAGGCGGCAAUCUGGCUGGAAACUGACGCUGAGGUGCGAAAGCGUGGGUAGCAAACAGGAUUAGAUACCCUAGUAGUC
rnacentral:rRNA from 1 species